rnacentral:lncRNA from 1 species
GGAGCGCACAGGGAACAGCCCUCGGCCCCGCUGCGGGGAGCUACACUGCACCGGGGCUGGUGCUGAGCUCGGGUGGCACGGCAGUGCAGGUGUUGUUGUUGGCGUUGGCGUUACGGCGGGGCAGGCUGGGGGUCAGCGUGGCACCGUCGCUGGGACAGCCGUGCUGCAGCAGGAUGUCGAUGCACUCCUGGCUGCCCGCGCGCCGUGCGUAGGCCAACGGGGUCAGACCCCGGGCAUCCCGACUCUUCACAUCCACCCCGUACCAGAUGAGCAGCUGCGUGAAGACAACGUUGGCCAUGGCGCAGGAGAGGUGCAGCGCCGUGCGCCCGUCGCCGUCCCCGUAGGUCUCGUUGACCUCCUCCUUGGUGCCGUGUGCCAGCAGUGUCACCACCAGGCGCAGGUCGUCCUC